AAUUUUGGACAAUGGGGGCAACCCUGAUCCAGCCAUCCCGCGUGUGCGAUGAAGGCCUUCGGAUUGUAAAGCACUUUAAGUUGGGAGGAAGGGCUUUAGGUUAAUACCCUGAAGUUUUGACGUUACCAACAGAAUAAGCACCGGCUAACUCUGUGCCAGCAGCCGCGGUAAUAUAGGGGGUGCAAGCGUUAAUCGGAAUUACUGGGCGUAAACGGCGCGAAGUUGUUUAGUUAGAAUGGGGUGGAAAUCCCGGGCUUAACCUGGGAACUGCUUUCAUAACUGCUGAGCUAGAGUACGGUAGAGGGUAGUGGAAUUUCCUGUGUAGCGGUGAAAUGCGUAGAUAUAGGAAGGAACACCAGUGGCGAAGGCGACUACCUGGACUGAUACUGACACUGAGGUGCGAAAGCGUGGGGAGCAAAC
rnacentral:rRNA from 1 species